GCAACAACCGAGGGUGUAAGGUAAAGGCUGAAUAUUGUAGAUUUAUUACAAUAUGUUGCAUGUUUGAAUUAAAAUACCUGUGGAUAUGCAGGAGCACACACUCUACAAAGGCCUGACUGGAGAUUUGCCUGAUCUAUCCGUCCUUCAGGUGACAGCGGCUCACUUCAAGAGCAGGUGAAGCAAGUUGGGACAAUGUUGAAGACAUUUGCUCGCACUGGGCAAUCGGGUGCAGAUCAAACCCUAAUGCUGCGACGUCUUGG